rnacentral:lncRNA from 1 species
GUACGAUGCUCGCCAAACUCAGCUGAACGAUUACGAAACUUUGGUUAACACUAAAUCUCUAUAUUUUCCCAUCUUCUUGUUUAUAAAUGUCUUUCUUAAUUUUCUUUCUUCCGUUCACCAAUUCCUCUGCAACUAUUUCCGGCCAAGUUUUUCCUCUCAUGUUAAUCGACUUUAUCAACGAUAUAUAAAUGAAAAAGAAGUAAGUAUUUAUAGUGUUUAAAUUUCCAUUUUCUUUUAUAUUUUUCUUCCACUGCGGGUGGCAAUGGACAAAAAACCUUCCCACCCUUUUUAUACAUAACCAAGCACGACCAUUUCCUUAAUGUGAGCAAUCUUUCCUAUUUGCUAAUACUUUAACCGUUGAUAAAUUCACUUGGACGUCUCUCGAUUCGGGGCUUUGUUUCCUUGCUGGGAAUUUCUUUUCUAAUUCUAGUAUAGUUUCACCUAUGAGAAGUAAGCGAACAAUGUAAGUUCCCACGAGCAUCCAACCUUAAAAGUCCUCUGUUAUGGCUUGAUGGUCCAUAAUGAACAACAGGAGUCUGAUUCCCGGUGCACUGCCACCUUCUCGCUGUAUUUACAGCUAUAUUCUUUACUAACUGCACCUCUGUAUAUGGUUUGUGCAGCUCUCGUGAGGCAUCCUUUAUCUACUCCAAACUUCGUCAGUGACCACCAGAUCACAACCGUGAAACGUCGUCCAAGUUGUUCUCUAGGUCAACAAUGGCUUUGUAUAGGGGCUUAUUUCUAGUUGAUGUUACAACAGCAGUGUCACUAGGAGAUAGAAGUACUUCGUUCAUGUCCAAAAGUAAACUGUAUCUCGUUUAUGUUGUCCCAUGCUACAACUCCUCCGAUCUCCAUAACAUAAUUGUUUGAUGUGUGUCUAAUGUAUUCUCUUGCGUGCAUCGUUGUUGCUCUUGUAGGAUUUGGCAAUGAUGCUGGUACAUUACUUGAUGUGAAAUGUUCCUAUGCCUGUGAUUUGUCCAUACCAAACUCUGACACAUAUUUUAAGCAUGUCAACAUGUAUUAUUAUUUUGUAACGAUUAAAACCUUUAUUACUUGAAAGAGUUCCUCGCAGUCAUUUCCAUUCUUUCAGAAACUAGACUUAGCUUAAAUCGUUAGUAAUUUUGUGAGGACAGAUUUUUAAAAUCCAAUCUUCCAUCUAGAACAUCAACAAUUUGUCCAUUUCGUGGACAGUCCUUGAUGCCUCUUUAAUUACUGGUCGGUCAUAGCUACUAGUGGUCAUAAAUGAAGGACAAUCUGUAUAUGUUCAUGUACGAUAUCAUAAGUAUAUUUAUUUAUGAACUAUAAUAUAAAUGCACACAGACAACUAAAAGGGGUUUUUUUUUCAGGAAGAGCUUACAGCUAUAUGUUUUUCGUGUCAGUGACAUGUGAAAGACACCCAGUACAUUAUGUAAAGUAGUUGGUGUUAGGAAGGGCACUUAGCUGUAGAAACCAAGCCAAAAGAGAAAACUGGAACCUGGUGUCGCUCUCUGGCUUACCAGCUCUGGUCAAACCUAAUCCAUGCCAACUCAAUAUGUACUCUCUACUCUGUUAUGUCUUCAUGUAUAAAUGUAGUGAUGUGCAGAACCUCAGUUGUUUAGAUAAAUGUUUACUUCUACAGUUUAUAGAAAUUAAAUAAAAUUUCUGCUGUAGAAUCUCUACUAUUUCAGUAUUCUCCACACCUUAUACAGUUUCUCUUAUCUUUUCAGGGUACCAGCUCUCACUGACAUUAAAAGUUAUUUACAUCAUCGAUGCUUAUCUUUUUGAGACAGUGGAAAAUGUUAUACAGAACAAAUGUAACCAGGUUUCAUAUAAACCCGGUGAAUUAAGGUGAAAUGUUUCCUCUGGAUGAGAUUAUUA